UACGGAGGGUGCAAGCGUUGUUCGGAAUUAUUGGGCGUAAAGCGCGCGCAGGCGGCCUGAAAAGUCCAUGGGUGAAAUGCCGGGGCUCAACCCCGUGCGUGCCCAGGAUACUGUCGGGCUGGAGACACGUAGAGGCAAGCGGAAUUCCGGGUGUAGCGGUGGAAUGCGUAGAGAUCCGGAAGAACACCGGAGGCGAAGGCGGCUUGCUGGGCGUGAUCUGACGCUGAGGCGCGAAAGCGUGGGGAGCGAACAGG
rnacentral:rRNA from 1 species